GCGUGCGGUGACGGUGCCGCGCCCAUCACUUCACGCCCAAGAACCCCUGGCAGCCAGAAUGUCACACCAGCAAGACCCUGAGGGUGUUGUCUUCUCAAACUGGCUUGUGUCACUGAAGUUUUCAGCGUUUCUGGCGCCCUCUGUCUUUCUCGCCUUCUCUCUGGUUAGGAAAAGUAGCCCUUCGGAUACAUUCGAUCCCUUUCCCUGACAGAGGCUGGAGAGCCAGGCCCCUGGCUCCUGGGCGGUGUGGACCAGGACACUGGGCGUGCGGGGCGCCUUCCCAGAAAGGAUCUGGUUCAGAUAAAGCAUGCCGGACAGAGGAGCAGGAAACCUCAAGAAAUUGAGGGUUUGCUUCUGGACCACUGGGACAAGGUGAAUAUUGCAAUAAAGUGAGUCAAAUGAA